UACGAAGGGUGCAAGCGUUACUCGGAAUUACUGGGCGUAAAGCGUGCGUAGGCGGUUGUUUAAGUCUGUUGUGAAAGCCCUGGGCUCAACCUGGGAACUGCAGUGGAAACUGGACGACUAGAGUGUGGUAGAGGGUAGCGGAAUUCCUGGUGUAGCAGUGAAAUGCGUAGAGAUCAGGAGGAACAUCCAUGGCGAAGGCAGCUACCUGGACCAACACUGACACUGAGGCACGAAAGCGUGGGGAGCAAACAGG
rnacentral:rRNA from 1 species